UUUCCGUAGGUGAACCUGCGGAAGGAUCAUUAACGAGUUAGGGUCUAUCAGUCCCUACCCCCCAACCCUAUGUUUAUUGAACCUCUGUUGACUCGGCGGCCCCGUCUCACGACCGCCGGAGGACCGCCGAGAGCCAACCACUUAACCCUCUGAUUUAAUCAUGUUAUUAUGUCUAAGUCUAUGAUUAAAUUAAAGCAAAACUUUCAACAACGGAUCUCUUGGUUCUG
rnacentral:misc_RNA from 1 species